rnacentral:rRNA from 1 species
ACGCUCGACACCUACGGGAGCAGCAGUCGGGAAUAUUGCGCAAUGGAGGGAACUCUGACGCAGUGACGCCGCGUAUAGGAAGAAGGUUUUCGGAUUGUAAACUAUUGUCGUUAGGGAAGAGAAAGGACAGUACCUAAGGAGGAAGCUCCGGCUAACUACGUGCAGCAGCCGCGGUAAUCUGAGCGGGCUGGCAAGGC